rnacentral:misc_RNA from 1 species
GGCAUUGUGGAACCAAUAUUUAAGGUUUGUUGUUUUUGCUAUGGUUUUUCAUCUGAUUUUCUUUUGUCAAAAUUGCUAAUCUGUACUGAAAUUGCUAUUUUACUAUCCCAUAUAUUUGCAAUUCAUGCUAAAUUGGUAUGCCUCUAAAUUCAUAUCAUUUUUAUAUUAGAUUGUUGUUCUUGAUGCAAAUUCUUAAUGUUAUUUCUUCCUUCUCUUCUCAAUUUAUCCCGAUUUCCCAACCCAACAAUGAAAAAAGUUUGGGGGUGUGUUGGAGAAAUUAGUUUAACCGUGAAUUUAUUCUAUCAAGUGAUCUUGUUUUACUCUUAACCUGCAUAUCAUAUAAUAUUUUACACCACAGCUGAAAGGAUUCUCAAGUCAGUAGGACUCUGGAUGAUGAUGGUUUCCUAGGUGUUGAACAAUUUUUUUUUCUU